UUAAUCGGGGCAGGGUGAGUCGACCCCUAAGGCGAGGCCGAAAGGCGUAGUCGAUGGGAAACAGGUUAAUAUUCCUGUACUUGGUGUUACUGCGAAGGGGGGACGGAGAAGGCUAUGUUAGCCGGGCGACGGUUGUCCCGGUUUAAGCAUGUAGGCUGAUUGUCCAGGCAAUUCCGGAUAAUCAAGGCUGAGGUGUGAUGACGAGGCACUACGGUGCUGAAGUAACAAAUGCCCUGCUUCCAGGAAAAGCCUCUAAGCAUCAGGUAACAUUAAAUCGUACCCCAAACCGACACAGGUGGUCAGGUAGAGAAUACCAAGGCGCUUGAGAGAACUCGGGUGAAGGAACUAGGCAAAAUGGUGC
rnacentral:rRNA from 1 species